GUACUACCAAGCCCCUCACAGCCAUCUGACCACAGCACACACUUGGGACACCAAGAAGCCAACUCUCAUCAGCUUUUAUCACCAAGCAGAGAUAAACGCAGAAGGAAACCUCUGGGUGAAUGGUGGAAAGUUGACGCCUUAGAGGAAGCAGAGACGUUGCCACCUGAUCUGCCGUCGUCCACUACAAUUAAACCUUCAAAAGAAAGAGAAGCUCAUCCCAAAAAAAUUGGAGGAUCUGGACAUCUGACUGUUAAGAGUCGUAGAAGAGCAUCAAAGCCUGUUGGGGGAGCUCUUGUGUCUCGCUUGAACCAAAGCAGGAAAACCCUUAAAUCAAUCCCCAAAUCAACCACGAAGACCCCCAGUGGAGCACAUCAGAGACACAGAUACCAAGAUGAAGCUGAGUUGCCUGCUUCAGGCUCCAAAGUUACACUCAUACAGAAGAAUGGCUGGAGUGCAUGCAAAGUCAUUAUGCAGGAUGAGAGCUCAGGCCAUGAGGGGCUGAACAGCACGUUUGAUGUCUGUCUGAGUGGACCAUCAUCCAGGAUUGAUCUGGACGUGUGUGAGGACUCGGAUUUGUCAUCAUCCCAAAUGCCUCCCGCUGAGCUGUCGAUGUCUGACCUGUGUGCUCCCCCUCUCAAACCUAUGGCGCUCCAGCCCGUGAACAGAACUAACCUGACCCGCUGCAUGAUGAGUCUUUGGUCCUCUCCUGCUGUUGAGCGUUGGGCAUCAUGGAGGACAGCAACAAUGGAACGGUUUCAAGUGGGAUGUUCAUUCUCGGCUCCUACAUGAAGAAACCUGUCUGUGUGGAUCACAGCGCCACCACAGUGUUCCACUUGUCAACAAGUACUUUGAAGGUGACCAUCAAUCUACAAGAGUCUUGCUUCAUACCGGGUCACUCCUUCAUCGUGCCAUGUGGCCACACCUACAGCAUUCACAACCUCACCACUCUGCCUGCAGCCCUCUUCUUCACCAGGAUACAAGUCCAGGCUGAUGGAGACGUAUGCAGAUGUACAUUUUGUGUAUCUUUGGUGACUACAGUUGUUUAGUUUUGUCAUAGUUUUGUAAAUAGUUCACUUUUCUGUGAAGCAGUUCUGUCUUUCAGUGUUGUGUUUAUACAGAAUAGGACUUUUUACUGCAUAUCAUUUUGGUAAAAGUCAAGGUUUUAUUGUUAUUAAGUUGUCAAAAACGUUUUUUGGGUCGCAACGCCCUCAU